rnacentral:rRNA from 1 species
AGGAUGAACGCUGGCGGCGUGCCUAAUGCAUGCAAGUCGCACGGUCGGGCUUCGGCCCGGUAGUGGCGAACGGCUGAGGAACACGUACGAACCUACUCCUGUGUGGGGGACAACUCGGCGAAAGCCGCGCUAAUCCCGCAUACGCUCUUCGGAGGAAAGCGUGGAAACACGCGCACAGGAUUGGGCGUGCGGCCCAUCAGGUAGUUGGUGAGGUAAUGGCCCACCAAGCCGAUGACGGGUCGCUGGUCUGAGAGGACGACCAGCCAGACUGGGACUGUGACACGGCCCAGACUCCUACGGGAGGCAGCAGCAAGGAAUUUUCGGCAAUGGGCGCAAGCCUGACCGAGCAACGCCGCGUGGAGGAUGACGGCUUUCGGGUUGUAAACUGCUUUCUUUGGGACGAGCAAGGACGGUACCAGAGGAAUCAGCCCCGGCUCACUACGUGCCAGCAGCCGC